ensembl:lncRNA
AGUUCUACCUGGGGAUCACCACCUUUCAGAGUUUCUAUUGAGCCCUGGCCCUUGGAAAGGUUUGAUUUGCAAUGUUAAGAAGCAACAGGAAAAAGCAAUCACCCAACUCUACCUCCACCAUCCCAGAAUAACAGGAGGAACACGUGUUUCACAGUAUUCCAGAGACUUCCUGCCCACAAGAAAGCAAUGCCUACUAAGCUGACAAAUGACUAACGCUGGCUUGUGCCUCUCCUGUGACUCUCACCUCCUCAUAAUCAUCCUGUGUUUCUAUUAGGCUUGUGCCUGGGCUUGGCAUGGGGCAUGUGGAGCCGCUUCUUUGACCUGCAUGGAGACUUUCAGUGCCAAGUGUAUUCUUUAACGAGAUCUGGGUCUGCCAGUGACCCACCUGAGCUCUGUCUGAGCUGAUAAAACAGGGCCUUACGGCAACGAUGAAAUAGGCAUAGUAUGCUAAUCCACAUCCUUGGUUACUUUUCACUAUAUGCAUGUCUGAUAAAAUCCGAAACCAACUCCCCUCUGCCCUGAAAUUCAGACAACAAAGCCAAACAGCAGUCAUACUUCCCGUUUCUGUAUUUUCCUUUCUGACCAAGCAGGUGCAAAGGAUACUUCUCUUUAAGCCUAUCAAAUUGACGUUCUAUUUGCUAACCUAUGAUAAAAGCUUUGCAUUUGCUUCUGUCAGAAGGACUAAGCUACCUAAUGUCCAAAAGAGUCACAAGAGGAAUUACCAUCACUCUGUGCAUUUUUCCUUUUGUUCUUUAAAUUUGCAAGAUGAUUUUUUUGUUUCUGCCAAUGAAAACAAUCUCAAACUGGUUAAGACACAACUAUGUAAAGAACAGAGCUGCUUACAAUAAGAAAAGGGGGAAAGGAUAAUAGAUGACUGAGCUGUCUUCUUUCAUUUUUUGACCUUUAAUUGAAAGAUUGAAGAUAAGUAGUUCCUGGGAGAAAGCAAAAGGCUGAUUCACUUACCCUGUAGCUUGAGUGAAAAAGCUUCCUGGAAGCCUUACUAUAUGUUAUGAAUCAUCCUCUUGUCAUUCCAAGAAGUUCAUAGCCAAGUAAAAUGUUAGAAAUGGAUUGAUAGUGGAGUGACGGGCAGUAGGGCCUAAGUGAGAGGUUAAAGGUCUUGAGAUAAUACAUUCAGGCAUCCCUUAGGACAUUUCUGUAAAGCUGAUGUUUCUGACCUCAGGAAUCCUUGUCUCGCUGUAUUAGGAUUCACUGUUCUCUUCGAAUAAUGUCAUUU